GACGAACGCUGGCGGCGUGCCUAAUACAUGCAGGUAGAACGCACAGGAUGCACCGUAGUUUACUACACCGUAUUCUGUGAGUUGCGAACGGGUGAGUAACGCGUAGGUAACCUGCCUGGUAGCGGGGGAUAACUAUUGGAAACGAUAGCUAAUACCGCAUAAGAACAUUUACUGCAUGGUAGAUGUUUAAAAGGUGCAAAUGCAUCACUACCAGAUGGACCUGCGUUGUAUUAGCUAGUUGGUGAGGUAACGGCUCACCAAGGCAACGAUACAUAGCCGACCUGAGAGGGUGAUCGGCCACACUGGGACUGAGACACGGCCCAGACUCCUACGGGAGGCAGCAGUAGGGAAUCUUCGGCAAUGGGGGGAACCCUGACCGAGCAACGCCGCGUGAGUGAAGAAGGUUUUCGGAUCGUAAAGCUCUGUUGUUAAGGAAGAACGUGUGUGAGAGGGAAAGUUCACACAG
rnacentral:rRNA from 1 species